UAAGUAGGGCGUGAAAGCGUGUGGCUCAACCAUAUACACAUGUCCUAAACUACUAAGCUAGAAUAUAGAAGAGGUCGCUGGAAUUCCUUGUGUAGGAGUGAAAUCCGUAGAUAUAAGGAGGAACACCGAUGGCGUAGGCAGGCGACUGGUCUAUUAUUGACACUAAGGCACGAAAGCGUGGGUAGCAAACGGGAUUAGAUACCCCGGUAGUCCACGCCGUAAACGAUGGAUGCUA
rnacentral:rRNA from 1 species